GGGGAUCCAGGAUGACUCGGGAAAGCCCUUUGAAGAUGAUCUAGAACACCAUUUCCUCCACAAAUAACCAAGGAAAGACCUUCACCCAACGAAGUGGAAAUUAAAGGGACAUGCCUACAAAACGCAUGUGGCCAUGUAAAUGAUAUGGAUGAAUACACUACGUGGACAAUAAAAGAUCAAUAGAACCGUCCAUGAUGUUAUUCCAUGUAAUUAAUAACCAUCUUACCAUCCAGUAACAAUGGAAUGCCAUACCCUCUGUUGUUAAACAUGUGCCAGGUUGUAUAUAACAGUAAAUUGACAGCAGCGCACAGCUGGCCGAGAUAAUGUGUUGAUACAUUUCGUCAAUGAUUUCCUCUUUCUUUAACUUUUUAGUUUUUAUAACAGCCUGAAUCCUGACACAUAUUUAAAAUGUUGUUACUGUAAUAUUAAUUGUGACAAAUAUAUUAUUCAUUUACAUGUACAGUACUUUUGUCACAAUGUUGUAAAAUUUGGAAAACAAUUAAUGCUUAUGUUUCUGCGGUUUUUAAUAUUGACCUACACUGUAUCAUUGGUUGAAUUUGCUUGAUUUUGUGAUCUCUUGUUGUAUAUUUUGUUUAAGUUCAAAAUGAAAAUGCCAGUUGCACAUAAAACAAACUUUAUUAUUUCUAUUCUGCCGUUUUAUAAAUACGUAAUAUUUCAUAGCCAUCAGUAGAUUAGAAGAUAUGUCAAAAGGCCGACUUCAAUCCACAUAUUGAAGAAAAUAUAUAAUUAGUAUUCGAAAAAUGUUAUUUAAUGAUGAUUACAUUUUGUAACUGUGUAUAUUUUUGUAUUAUUUUGUAUUAAAUACAAUAAUUUAUA